AUUGAACGCUGGCGGCAUGCUUUACACAUGCAAGUCGAACGGUAACAGGCCGCAAGGUGCUGACGAGUGGCGAACGGGUGGGUAAUGCAUCGGAACGUGCCCAGUCGUGGGGGAUAACGCAGCGAAAGCUGUGCUAAUACCGCAUACGAUCUGUGGAUGAAAGCGGGGGACCGUAAGGCCUCGCGCGAUUGGAGCGGCCGAUGUCAGAUUAGGUAGUUGGUGGGGUAAAGGCUCAUCAAGCCGACGAUCUGUAGCUGUUCUGAGAGGACGACCAGCCACACUGGGACUGAGACACGGCCCAGACUCCUACGGGAGGAAGCAGUGGGGAAUUUUGGACAAUGGGCGCAAGCCUGAUCCAGCAAUGCCGCGUGCAGGAAGAAGGCCUUCGGGUUGUAAACUGCUUUUGUACGGAGCGAAAAGGCUCUCUCUAAUACAGGGGGCUCAUGACGGUACCGUAAGAAUAAGCACCGGCUAACUACGUGCCAGCCGCCGCGGUAACAC
rnacentral:rRNA from 1 species